GGCCGGUUAGCUCAGUGGGUUGAGCGCGGUGCUGACAACAAUGACAACACCGAGGCCGCGGGGUCAAUAACCGCGGGUUCAAUUCCCGCUCGGUCC
rnacentral:tRNA from 1 species